UUAACACAUGCAAGUCGAACGGAAAUAAAGGAGCUUGCUCCUUUAAAUUAGUGGCGAACGGGUGAGUAACACGUUGGGCAACCUGCCCCUGACUCUGGGAUAACUACUCGAAAGAGUAGCUAAUACCGGAUAUGAAACCUGAAGACAUCUUCGGGUUUGGAAAGUUUUUCGGUCAGGAAUGGGCCCGCGGCCUAUCAGCUAGUUGGUGAGGUAGUGGCUCACCAAGGCGACGACGGGUAGCCGGCCUGAGAGGGCGGCCGGCCACACUGGGACUGAGACACGGUCCAGACUCC
rnacentral:rRNA from 1 species